rnacentral:lncRNA from 1 species
CAUCUAUAAAUUGUAAAUAUUUAGCUGCUAAAUUUUCAUUUCCUCUUCUUUUAGAUUUGUAUUAUUGUUCUAUCAAAUUUUUUCGAAAAAUCUUCUGUUAUUUUUGUUGAAGAAAGCUUUGUUCUUUUCAAAAAAUAUUAUUUCAAAAGUCUAUUUUUACAUUGUUGUUGAAGUCUAAACUUUCUCUGCAGAUGAGAUUUGAAUCUGUCAAUGGAGAGCCGAUCUCAAAUCUGCAACAGCAACAAAAAAGAGCAUGGAUGAAACUCUCAGAUAUAUAUAUUCAUGAUUUAUAGGAAACAUACAUUGUAGAUGUAUUUUUGUAAUAAGUUGGCAUCAAAGAUUUUGUAUUUUUGUAUUUUUGCAGUAUUUAUCAACUGAUUCUGUAUUUUUGUUGUUUUUGUAUUUAACUGAUUCUGUAAAUCAUUUGCACAACAAAAUAGUGCAAAUGGGAAAGAACAUAACUUAGAAACCUAAAAUUUCUUGAAACAAAAGCAUUUUUUUUUGCAGAAAAUAUAAACAAAAUAUGUAAUUUGUACGAGAAUUUCGAAAAGAGAACAGGGGCACCUUCUUUUCUUCAACAGCAGGGGCAGUUGCAGCGGCGCCUGUAGCACCGCCAGUAGGAGCGCAACUGCGACGAGAGCAGCAACUACAACGGCAGCACCGCCACCGCCGGAUCCAAUGUUCACGAUGAAAUCCUCGGUGUUCUUCUUCUCGCAUGGCUUGGCGAAGAGACUCGGUGAAGAAGAAAAAGCUAUGAGAACUGAAAAAGAAGAAAAAGCUAUGAGAACUGAAGAAGAACCGUAGAAGAAGAAACAAAUAACUAGAAGAGAAAAAAAAAGUGCGGCGCUAAUGGAAUGGGUGAGUAAGUCUAGGGUUUCUCUUAUUUUUUUUCUUUUUAUAUUGUUUUUGUGCUUUUGCCUAAGAGACUCAAUUCAGAGUAUUAUUUAGUUUGGGCCAUUAGUUUGCUCACAUUAAGUUUUGUAUAUAGUUUUUAAUUAGUGGGCUUCACACUUUAAGUUAAG